rnacentral:rRNA from 1 species
CAGUAGCCGCGGUAAUACGAAGGGUGCAAGCGUUACUCGGAAUUACUGGGCGUAAAGCGUGUGUAGGUGGUUGUUUAAGUCUGUCGUGAAAGCCCUGGGCUCAACCCGGGAAUUGCGAUGGAUACUGGGCGACUAGAGUGCGGUAGAGGAUAGUGGAAUUUCCGGUGUAGCAGUGAAAUGCGUAGAGAUCGGAAGGAACAUCUGUGGCGAAGGCGACUAUCUGGGCCAACACUGACACUGAGACACGAAAGCGUGGGGAGCAAACAGGAUUAGAUACCCCUGUAGUCCCUGUCUCUUAUAU